rnacentral:rRNA from 1 species
CGUGUAGGCGGUUUGUUAAGUUAGAUGUGAAAUCAUACAGCUCAACUGUGUGGCUGCAUCUAAAACUGGCAGACUAGAGUAUGGAAGGGGAAAACGGAAUUCCUGGUGUAGCGGUGGAAUGUGUAGAUACCAGGAGGAACACCCAUGGCGAAAGCAGUUUUCUAGUUCAAUACUGACGCUAAGGCGCGAAAGCUAGGGGAGCAAACAGGAUUAGAUACCCUGGUAGUCC